UACGUAGGGCGCAAGCGUUGUCCGGAAUUAUUGGGCGUAAAGAGCUCGUAGGCGGCUUGUCACGUCGGGUGUGAAAGCCCGGGGCUUAACCCCGGGUCUGCAUUCGAUACGGGCUGGCUAGAGUGUGGUAGGGGAGAUCGGAAUUCCUGGUGUAGCGGUGAAAUGCGCAGAUAUCAGGAGGAACACCGGUGGCGAAGGCGGGUCUCUGGGCCGAUACUGACACUGAGGAGCGAAAGCGUGGGGAGCGAACAGG
rnacentral:rRNA from 1 species